rfam:Helobdella robusta unplaced genomic scaffold HELROscaffold_3, whole genome shotgun sequence.
GUUGGCUAUGGCAACGAAGUUCUCCUUGAUACGUCUGGUAAACUAAUUGGAUCCAUGUGUGCUGUCGUAGGUGUUCUCAUCAACGCCCUUCCUGCACCUCUCAUCAUUCCAAAU